CUUCAUCUUCUUCAUGGAGGAGCCCCUGAAAAUUUUCAGCCGCUAGAACCAAAAAUCGACCGCCCAUCUUGCUUCUUUUUCAUGCUUGAACAGAGAUACAAAAAAAAACGGAGUUGUUUCUAAGCUAAACCCAGCUGCAAACUCACUUCAAAACAUCUAAACCAUUCAUAAAAAUAGAUGCUGACGAGGUCGUUUGCAGCAAUAUUCCGUUUUCGAUCGAGUCGAGUUCGCCGCCAGUUCCGCUUGUCAUGAGUUCUCGAGCCGAGCUUCUGUUGAUUUCUUGUUUAACUGGAAAUGGAGACAUUAGAGUAUGAGGAAUUGAACUUGGGGUUCUCGUUGCUUUCCCUUAUCUUGCUCCUGUUGAAGAUUGAGGGUAUCAGGGGGACUGCUCCUGGAGAAGAGUGACGGCUGGAGAUGGGUGCGGUGAAGAAGAAGGGUUCGGCGUUGGGGGUUAGAGAGGAGGAGGAAGGAGGAGCUUGGCGGCGGUUGGUUGUUUGGUCUAAUACAAGCUAACUGAGAGUUUUGUAACAGAAAGGUGAAUUCGAAGCAUUAGCUAGUGAAUUUAAGAGCUUAAGCUUAAAUUAGUUGAGAGUUCUGUAACGGAAAGAUAAUUGAAUUUGAGAGCUUAAACUUAAAUUAAUUGCUUUAAUCUUCAAUUGGAUAUGAGUAGUGACACUGAUAAAGAAGAAGGAAAUGGUAAAAGUGUAGGAGGCAAUGGUAAAAAUGGUGGUGGACAUAAAGGAGGAGGAGGAGGAGGACCACAAAAAAAAAAAAGAAGAAUAAAAAAUCUGUUUUUUGGGCUCUUCACGAACCUAUAUUGGGUGAAACUCACUCUAUGUGCCAACUCAACAAGAAGUGUCUAACUGAAACAAAGUUCAUGUAAUAUACUCGCUCAUUGAAAAUACUCUUAAGUUGAAAUGUCUAAAUAAAAAAUUAUAUUAACUUUAAGUGUGUCCAUAUGUAUUAGCCCCGUGCCUAUCAGACCAUUUUGAUCAAUUGGAAUGUGCCUGGUGCCUUUAUCUGGCAAGUGACAUGUUGUAUCAGUAAAAUAGAAAGAAUUGAAAUAAAGCUGACCCCAAAUGAUUCUAGUGACGGGGUUAAUUUUAUGACAAAACAGGAUCACAUUGAAAAACUAAACAUAGAAGAAAUAAGAUACUUCUUCUGGUCCAAAAUAAGUAAUUUUUUAGAUAUUUUUAUACAGAUUAAGAAAAUCACCUUUUAGUAUUAAUUAAUAAUAUAAUUGACCAUAUUAACCUUUACUAUCUCACAUAAAUACUUCUAACAUAUAUUCCAACACUAUUUACUCCAAGGACAAUGUAUGAAAAAAAUAAUUAAUUCAUUCUUGAAAUCUGAAAAAAUCACUUAUUUUGGACCACAAAAAAAACCAAAAAAUCACUUAUUUUAAAUCGGAGGGAGUAUAUUUUACUCCUAGUGUCCACAAGAUUCAAUAUUUUCGUAGACAGCAAAAUAUCUUAAACAACAACUAGACAAAGCUACAUUCGCGCACAUGAUCAUAGAAACAUUUCAAAAUUCAAAACUAGCUCAGAAAAGCAAAGAGGUAGCAUCACCAACUCCAAAAGCCAGUCAAGAAGAGGAUGAUAUAUUUUAGAAAUGGUUCGAUACCUCUUUCUCUAAUAAUUCCAGCGAUUAAUUUAUUUUUCCCAAGGUUUCACAACCUUCAAGGCUCCAACAUUUUGCUGUGUCAUCUGCAUCGAAACAACCAAUCAGUUUUCUAACUUCAGAAGCAAUAACCAUCAGCUAACAGAUUUCUAAGUUCGUUGACAGUAAUGAUGCAGAUUGUUUCGAAUCCCAGCGAUAAUUAGUCAAAGGACCUAUGAACUUUCUGUUUUUGAUGAAAAGGCAAGAAUAUUACUAAUAACUACUCCCUCCGCUCUAAAAUAAGUAAUUUUUUGGCAUUUUUCUUGUGAUCCAAAAUAAGUGAUUUUUUCAGAUUUCAAGAACAAAUUA